rnacentral:lncRNA from 1 species
UUUUAAAAUAAAUUUUUCCAUAAAUAAAAGCCUCAAAACUAAAAAUACAAUCCUUAAUAAAAUAUGGGUAAUAUUCAAAUACCAUCCCUAUAGUUUCACAUUUUCUCACUUUAGUAUUAUAUGGUUUAAAAUGUAUCAAUUUAUUAGUAUCAUAUGGUUUUUUUUUUCUUUUCUUUUCGUUGGCUCCUCCAUUAACAUUUCGUUAAAUUAUAUUAAAAAAACUUCAAAUACCCCACCCAGAUUGAUCAAAUAUUUAUUUUAGUAUCUUUUAGUUUUAACUUUGUUGCUGAUUUAACGAAAAAAAUAAUGAAAUAGAUAAUAAAGAGAAAAAAAAAUUAUAAGUUAUUAAAUUGAUAUAUUUUAAACUAUAUGAUGUUAAAAUGAGAAAGUAUGAAACCACACACGGAGGUAUUUGAAGUUU